GGACAAGGAUUGGGGAGGAAACAGGGAAGAUGGACUAUUUGAAGGAAAAAGAAGAGGAAGAACAAAUAUACAGUGAUAAAGCAUACCUUAAACACAGACAAAACAUCAAAAUAUGUAAGAGUUGAUUAUACCCCCUGAAAACUACAAAUGGAACUGUUUUAAUAUUGCUGAUAUGGCUUCACUAGAAUGCUGACUGAAAAUGAAACAUUUGAAUCUGGAAGUGUCCAAGAAACGUGCCUUUUUGCAGAUUAAAGAUUUUCAGAAUGA